rfam:Myotis lucifugus cont2.13436, whole genome shotgun sequence.
AGGCCUGCAGAGAGAGAGGCAGGGUCUGAUCUGCAGCCUCAGUGGCAGCUGAUGAUCAGCCAUUGCCUCUGUCUCUCUCCCCG